rnacentral:rRNA from 1 species
UACGGAGGGCGCAAGCGUUGUUCGGAAUUACUGGGCGUAAAGCGCGUGUAGGUGGCUUGGAAAGUCGGGUGUGAAAUCCCGGAGCUCAACUCCGGAACUGCAUCCGAUACUGCCAAGCUCGAGUCUCGGAGAGGAUGGCGGAAUUUCCGGUGUAGAGGUGAAAUUCGUAGAUAUCGGAAGGAACACCAGUGGCGAAGGCGGCCGUCUGGACGAUGACUGACACUGCGACGCGACAGCGUGGGGAGCAAACAGG